AUGGGGUAUGUGGCAGUGGCGACGGAUGAGGGGGCGGCGGUGCUGGGGAGGCGCGACAUUCUCGUGGCGUGGCGUGGCACCGUGACGAAACUGGAGUAUUUGAACGACGGAGACUGGCUGCACGCGCCCGCCACGAAGGUGCUCGGCCACUCCAUGGCGGCCGCCUACAAGGAUGCCAGGGUGCACCAUGGAUUUCUGUCCGUGUACACGUCCGCGGACAAACAAUCCAAGCACAAUAACACCAGAGUCCAAGAUCAGGUCCGCGAGGAGGUGCGGAGACUAUUGCAGGUGCACAAGGACGAGGAGGUCAGCAUCACCGUGACGGGUCACAGCCUAGGCGCGUCGCUUGCAACCCUCAACGCCGUCGACAUGGUGGCUCACGGCAUCAAUGUACCUCCUGCCUACUCCAAGCAGUCAUCGUGCCCUGUGACGGCGAUCCUAUUCGCAAGCCCACGCGUUGGGAAUGGCGGAUUCAAGGCUGCAAUCGCCUCAUUCCCCGAUCUCCGCGCCCUAAGUGUGAGGAACGAAUUUGACCCUGUGCCCUCAUUGCCAAUGAUUGGGUACGAGGAGGGCACGGCGACGGAGGUGUUGUGUAUCAACACGACCAAGUCACAAUGCCUACGCAAGUUCUCCGUCGACUUGUUCAGGUUUUGGAAGGACCACCACAACCUCGAGGUCUACCUGCACGGCAUUGCCGGGUAUCAAGGUGCUAGCAAGGAGUUCCGCCUGGUGGUCAAUCGCGACGUAGCACUUCUGAACAAGUGGGCUGACUUGCUGAAGGAUGAGCACUUGGCGCCAGCGAACUGGUGGGUCGCUCAAAACAAGUGCAUGGUCAGGGGUGUGGAUGGCCACUGGAAAUUCGAUGACUAUGAGGACGACCAAUUAAGUGGUUAG
rnacentral:rRNA from 1 species